rnacentral:tRNA from 1 species
GGCCGGUUGGCCCAAUGGUAAGGCGUCUGACUACGAAUGUGGAAACCUCGGUUUGGCGUGUAAUCAGGAGAUUCUGGGUUCGAGCCCCAGGCUGGUCA